AAAAACAUGGGGAUUCCCCUCAAACCUGGCCUUGGACACCCCAAUCGGCAGGGAACUGUCCCAAAACCACAGGGACCCACUCAAACCCAGCCUUGGAUGCUCAAAUCUGCGGGGAUCUGGCCCAAAACCAUGGGGAUCCCCCUCAAUACCAGGCUUGGACACCCGAACUCAAAGGGACCCACCCCAAAACUAUGGGGAUUCCCCUCAAACCCAGCCUUGGAUGCUCAAAUCUGCAGGGAUCCGGCCCAAAACUAUGGGGAUUCCCCUCAAACCCGGCCUUGGAUGCUCAAAUCUGCAGGGAUCCGGCCCAAAACCAUGGGGAUCCCCCUCAAACCCGGCCUUGGAUGCUCAAACCUGCAGGGAUUCACCCCGAAACUGUGGUGCUCCACCCCUGACCCAGCCUGAGCCGUCCAAACUCACAGGGAUCCAGCCCAAAACUAUGGGGAUCCCUCUCAAACCCAGCCUUGGACACCUUAAUCCACAGGGAUCACUCCCGAACCAUGGGGAUCCCCCUCAAUACCAGGCUUGGACACCCAAAUCCGCAGGGAGUCCUCCCAAAACCACGGGGACCCACUCAAAUCCAGCCUUAGACGCUCARACCUGCAGGGAUCCAUCCCAAAUCAUGGGGAUCCCCCUCAUAACCCAGUCUUGGACACCCAAAUCCACAGGGAACCAUCCCAAAACUGUGGGGAUCCUCCUCAAACCCACCUUGGACACCCCAAUCUGCAGGGAUCCAUCCCAAACCAUGGGGAUCCCCCUCAAUACCAGCCUUGGACACCCAAAUCCACAGGGAUCCAACCCAAAACUGUGGAGAUCCCCCUCCAACCCAGCCUCAAACACCCCAAUCCACAGAGAUCCCUCCCAAAACCACAGGGAACCCCUCAAACGCAGCUUUGGACAUCCAAAUCCCCAGGGAUCCAUCCCAAAACUGCGGGGAUCCCCCCAAAACCAUGGGGAUCCACCCCAAACCCAGCUUGAGUCACCCGAAUCCACAGGGAGCCAUCCCAAACCGUGGGGACCCACCCCAGACCCAGCCUGG
rnacentral:lncRNA from 1 species